rnacentral:rRNA from 1 species
UACGUAGGUGGCAAGCGUUGUCCGGAUUUACUGGGCGUAAAGAGCGCGCAGGCGGUCGUCCAAGUCGAGUGUGAAAGCCCCCGGCUCAACUGGGGAGGGUCAUUCGAUACUGAUCGACUCGAAGGCAGGAGAGGGUAGUGGAAUUCCCGGUGUAGUGGUGAAAUGCGUAGAUAUCGGGAGGAACACCAGUGGCGAAGGCGACUACCUGGCCUGUUCUUGACGCUGAGGCGCGAAAGCUAGGGGAGCAAACGGG